CCUACGGGAGGCAGCAGUAGGGAAUCUUCCACAAUGGGCGAAAGCCUGAUGGAGCAACGCCGCGUGAGUGAUGAAGGCCUUCGGGUUGUAAAACUCUGUCAUUCGGGACGAACCGGAGUCUGAGGAAAUGCAGACUCUCUGACGGUACCGGAGGAGGAAGCCCCGGCUAACUACGUGCCAGCAGCCGCGGUAAUACGUAGGGGGCAAGCGUUGUCCGGAUUCACUGGGCGUAAAGCGCGCGCAGGCGGUGAUGUAAGUCUGAGGUGAAAACCCGAAGCUCAACUUCGGGACUGCCUUGGAUACUGCGUCACUUGAGGAUAGGAGAGGCAAGGGGAAUUCCACGUGUAGCGGUGAAAUGCGUAGAGAUGUGGAGGAACACCUGUGGCGAAGGCGCCUUGCUGGCCUAUUUCUGACGCUGAGGCGCGAAAGCGUGGGGAGCAAACAGGAUUAGAUACCCUGGUAGUCCACGCUGUAAACGAUGAGUGCUAGGUGUAGGUGGGCUCAUACCACUCUGUGCGACGACUACGACAUAAGACACNCCGCCGUCGGGUAGGUACGGUCGCGACGACGUACGAACGUACGAAGUAGAGUUAGACGGCGUUGAGGACGNGCCGACGGCGACGACGAGGGAGGAGG
rnacentral:rRNA from 1 species